UACGGAGGGGGCUAGCGUUAUUCGGAAUUACUGGGCGUAAAGGGCGCGUAGGCGGCCUUGUCAGUCAGAAGUGAAAGCCCCGGGCUCAACCUGGGGAAUGCUAUUGAUACUGCAUGGCUAGAGUUUCGGAGAGGAAGGUGGAAUUCCCAGUGUAGAGGUGAAAUUCGUAGAUAUUGGGAAGAACACCGGUGGCGAAGGCGGCCACCUGGACGACAACUGACGCUGAGGGGCGAAAGCGUGGGGAGCAAAUGGG
rnacentral:rRNA from 1 species